UACUCUCUCCCCUAUGCUCUCAACGUGAGAGGGUUUGAGGUAGGCGCGUGUUUUUUCCAGCCAAUAAGGGUGUUUGGAUGGUGAUGGAUCAUCUCUUCGAUUUGCAAUCCAAUGGUGAAUCACUCAGAUCUGGCUUCCUUGAGUUGCGGUGGAGUCUGACAAAGCAUACAAUGAAGAUGAAGAUAAAGAGGAUAAAAAUAUCAUUCAGCGUCGUGGCGUGUGUUGAUCUAUGCCUUAUCAAAUCAACGAUAUACCAAAGGUUUAUUCAAUCUUAUCCAUGGGUUCCUGAUGCAACCUAACCUAAAGCAUUAACAACCUCUAUUACUAGCAAACAUGGAGUUCUGACGAGGCAACAAAAUCCUGUCCAUUCAUAUAUGAUUUCACGCCAGAACAUGCAUCUACGGGUGCUUCCGAUGGCUAGUCAUGCAGUCAUGACUAUCACCAUGUUUCUAGUCUAUUACAAACCUGCAAGUCUACGGUUUUGAUGU